CCCUAAUGGCUCCUGUGACACUCAUCAAAUGCUUGCAGUCCAUUAAAGAAUAUGCUUUUGUUAAAUCUCCAUACCCUGUUAUCGUAACUUUGGAGGGCCACCUUACAGCAGACCUUCAAGCUCAGGUUGCAGAGAUGGUCAUUGAAACGUUUGGAGAACUAUUAUACUACCUUGCAUCAAGGUGCUUGGAAGAAUUCCCUUCACCAGAAGCCCUAAAGCAUCGAAUUAUUGUUUCAACCAAACCACCAAAAGAAUAUCUUGAACUGAGGGUCCAACAGAGAAGGAUUCAUCUACUGAAGUAGCAUCGGGAAAGGAGUCACCAGACCUUGCAGCUAAGCUGGAUCCUGAUGACAGGGUGAGCUCAGAAAUAAAUUUAUUUCAUCAGCUUAUAAUCUAGAAAUGAAAUUUACUUCAUUCUGUUAUAACUUCUAAGGUGCUCAAUUACUUUAACAUGUUAAAAUUUUGUCAUGGUUAACAAGACAACACCGAUCAGGAUGAUGAAGGCAGUGAUGGCUGUGAGCAGAAAUCAUGCCAGCUAGGAGCACGUCAAUACAAGCAUCUGAUUGCAAUUCACACUGGGAAACCAAAGAAUGGAUUGAAAGAGGCUUUGAGGGCUGGAAUUGGAAAAAUUAAACGUCUUAGUUUGAGUGAAACAACACUUCAAAAGGCAGCAGAAUCUUAUGGAAUUGACCUUGUGAGGUUCACACAAAAGAAUAUUCUGAGGGUAUACCCAAAGGGGACCUGAGUCACCUCCUCAAAUUUCAAUCCACUUACUGAAUGGAAGCAUGGAGCUCAGAUGGUUGCAUUUAAUCUGCAGGUUAGUUUUGAAGUCUUGUGUCUUCAUAAAAUCAUGUUAUUCAUGUUUUUUUGGUGAGCUUUCGUAAUAUUUUCUCUAUUUCUUAAUGUUGUGUGGUUUGAUUAGUUAUUGAUGUAGAAUGAAAGUUCAGUUCAGACAUGGCUUAAAUAUGUGGAGUGGGAAAAUAUUACUUUUUAGGAUUGAUUUCUAGUUUUUUAUUCUAUUUUUGCUAUUGACAUCUAUGUAAAGCUUGUAUUAUACACUAUGGUCUCUGGAUAGCUUGGAAUUUUUCUAAUUCUAUCUUUUUCAUUUUGUUAGUUCA